AGCGAACGCUGGCGGCAGGCUUAACACAUGCAAGUCGAACGGGCAUCUUCGGAUGUCAGCGGCAGACGGGUGAGUAACACGUGGGAACGUACCCUUCGGUUCGGAACAACUCUGGGAAACUGGAGCUAAUACCGGAUACGCCCUUAUGGGGAAAGGUUUACUGCCGAAGGAUCGGCCCGCGUCUGAUUAGCUAGUUGGUGGGGUAACGGCCUACCAAGGCGACGAUCAGUAGCUGGUCUGAGAGGAUGAUCAGCCACACUGGGACUGAGACACGGCCCAGACUCCUACGGGAGGCAGCAGUGGGGAAUAUUGGACAAUGGGCGCAAGCAUGAUCCAGCCAUGCCGCGUGAGUGAUGAAGGCAUUAGGGUUGUAAAGCGCUUUUGUCCGGGACGAUAAUGACGGUACCGGAAGAAUAAGCCCCGGCUAACUUCGUG
rnacentral:rRNA from 1 species